rnacentral:lncRNA from 1 species
UCUCUGUGGUAAGGCCGGCCACUCACCAGGUCAAAGUGCAGCCAUCAAGGCUAAAAUAUAUGCAAUUCCACCCAGGCUCACUCAUUAGAAGGUGAAUUUAUUUUGAUAGUUGGGACCAUUCCCAAAUAAACAACAAAUAAAACCUCAGCCUUACAGGACAAGCUAAGUAGAUGACGCUGGAAAAUACCAUUUUUCCACAACAAACAGUCUACUAACAACCAACUGCAGUAACAAUCUUGUCUAGACGCCUGCUUCAUGUACUCAAUUAUAAUUUUUUUGAGAUGGGGAAAAUCUGAAUUAAGAUUAAAAUGUGAAAUUAGCACUCAUUUUUAAGGCACGGGAAUGGCAUUCUUGUCAUAUAAGAUAGCGUUAGUGUUUUAAUAGUCUCCUAAUUAAAUAUUUAUAUUGAAGAGGACUGGAAUAACAUGACAGAGUCACUAGGAUUUGUGUUAAAAGAGAAAAAAAGGCAAAAAGAAGGAUAGCUGGAACAAGAGGCUGAGAAUCACAGUUGUUGAAUCCAGCCCAGGAAUAUAGGCAGCUAGCUAUACUAUUCUCUCCAUUGAAAGCAUGCGUGGAACAAUUAAAAAACAGUUCCGCCGAAAUAAAACUAGUUUCUUACCAUUUGCAGUUCCUGAAACAUCUCUAGGUGGAAAGCUCUCAUCUCUUGUUAAUUCUUCCUUCAAGCUAAUGCAUAGGAGACAGCCUCCAUCUGUGUACCACGGAUACAUCACCUGCUCUUUCUGACAUAUUACAGCUGCAUCAGGAAAGUGAUGGGUGUGUCUAAAGUGUGUCCUCUGUACUCAUGUUAAAGACCCAACCUUAGUGCCUCAGAAAGUGUAUCUGUAAAAAUAUAACUAAGGUGAAAGGACCUUAUGUGGGCAGCUAUGGAGCUUUGUGUUUGGGGAUAUAGAGUUUUCUGGGAAGGUGAUUAGGUUAGAUUGAGACAGUGGGUAGACAUUAGCAUAGUUGGUGUCUUUGUGAUAAAGAGAAACACCAAGGCACAAAGACAGCAACCAUAGAGACAGCUAGAGGUGACUAUCCACUGGCCAGGCACUGAGGCUUCAAAGGGGACCAGUCCCACUGGCACCUUGAUCAUGAACUUCAGCCUUCAAAGCAGAAAGAUGGAAGUUUGUAUGUUUGAACCUUUAGCCUGUGGCCCAGGCAUACUGGUCCAGGAUGGGAUGGAGGUGGGGGCCUGCAUUCAUUAGCUGCUGGAGGGCACCCCAGGCUGCUCUCCCUUUUCCCAACAAGAACUUCACUCCUUGCUAGGAUCUCCCCUCCUGUUCUCUUUGUUUCCAGAGUACAGGAGUGAAACCAUGGCUCUGGUUGUCUUGCAUCAGCCAAAUUGCUGCCUGAACCCCGGAUUGUAACUUCUCCUUCCAGAACUUACCAUAUCUCGUUCACACACAAAUUACCCCUGGGAGAUUAUAGAAAUUUAAAAAUAAAUAAAUAAACUUCUUGAGGGAUUACAAUACAAUAGUAGCCUAUAAUUCUUCUUUCAUUGCUACUGAAAGAGAAAUGGUGCCCAAUAAGUAAAGCCUUUAUUAUAUCUUAGAAGAAAGAAAGCUCUUAUUUCUGGUUCAGAGAUUCAACAUCAUGGCAUUUAUAAUUAUAUUCUGGAGUCAACAUUGUUAAAAAUUUGGGCUUUCAUGCUAAAAAGUGAUUUUUUAAAAAAAAAAUAUAUAAUUACCUACUAAUUCUUCCCAAAUGGUAUGACUUGCCUUUUUUCUCUCUUUUUUUGAAUCAUAACUCAUCUUAAACAAUCUAUUUUUUUUUCUUUUUAGAGGAAGUCUAAAAUAACACAUGGGUGUCUCGGCCUUGGCACAGCUAAACCCUGGAACAUUGAACUGAAGUCAUAACAAUGGGUAAUAUUUUAAUAUAAUGAAAAAUUAUCAUUAACUUUUCUCGACAGGAAGGAAAUGAAUUUUCCUCAUUGUACACAUUCCGAGAAAAAUGAGGCUAAGACUAUUUCAAAGGAUGUUCUACCUAAUUCGAAUGGGCUUUAAGUGCCAUCUUCACAAUAGCGCCAGAGUCUGGUGUCAGCAAACUGAACAAAUAGAGCUACAGGGAGCGAAUGGGGCUGGGUGCCUCUCCAAAACAUAUGCAGAUGAACUUGAGAUUUCAGAGGACGGUUAAUCCUACACAGCAGUCAAGUGCCUUCCCAGGGGUAUGUCUCAGAUCUCAGGGCUCCCUUCCAAACACUGGCUGCCACGUCAAACCAAAGGGGACGAGCAAUCAGACUCACCUCAAACGCCAGUUAAGAAAGCCGGCCUUACUUAAGCAAUCAAGGGCAAGUGAUCAGCCAACUCUGCUUUCUUUCCUUUCUCUUGGAUCAUUUAUAGACCUUGUGGCCGUGGCCACCACAUUGAGAAGCCCUUGGUCUCUACUUGGACUCACUAUAGCAGGU